CACAGCGGUCGUGAAACGGGGCCCAGCUGUGUUGUGGAACCCCGAAUGAAGCGAAACUCCUCGGGUUCACCUACCGGGCGAUAUUCCAGGCACACGUUCCCAGAUCGGCCGAUAGAGGGCAGUGUCGACGUCCGACUCGUCGCGAAACACGAAGAAGUAGAGCAUGAAGCUGAGCGUGGAUCCGGUGAUGAUGAGCUGAGCCACCAUCGGGCUCAGCUUGAAGUCCCACGGGUGUCUGCCCGUGGAGCCAUCGCCGGGCGGGGGCGCGGACGGACGCCCGGCUCUGGAACAGCGGAGCGGUGAAGCGUUCAUGGCGUUGUGCGCCCGCGGGUGAUGAGGACGCAGAAGUAGAUGAGCAAUGCCGUCGUCGAGGACAGCACGAUGGGCAUCUGGUACCAGGGUACGUCAUCCUCUUCUGCACCGCCUCCGAAGGUGUCCCGAGCGCGCCACGAGGCAGCGCCUGAAGUGGAGAAGCGUAGCGGACCCUCGUCAUCUUCGCUGGUCGGCUUUGUGGAGGUGCUGGCGCGCCCUCCGCCCCGAUCGGAGGCCGCCGAGUGCCUGCAACGGUGCGCACUGCUCAGAGACGACGGGCGACGACGACGAUGACUUGGAGGACGGGUACUGCGAUACGCGUCGAUACCGAUGGCUGACGCUCACGCACUCAUGGCCCAGUAAUAUAGUAUUAAUGAGAAGUGGCUACGCUUGGGAGUUGAGGGUGACUUAGCAUGAUGUCAUAUGAUGUCCCCAGA